CUGAAAGGGCCCAUGCUCGAGACAAAGGCGGGGCCGUGUGCAAACAGCUUUCCACCUGCAUUCCUUCGCUCAGGCUGCUGUAACCAGUAUCACAGACAGGAGCAAAACUAAAAACCUGUGUCAGCGAGUCACUCACUGCUGCCGUGUCCCCCAGCUCGUUGAUCUCAGGUUGACCCAGAAGCUCAGCGUCACUGCGAGGAGACAGGCUCUGGGAGGAUGUGCGUGAGCUGCACGACCUUGAGCAAGCAGAUGAAGCUCCCUGAGCCUCGGUUUCCUCAUCCGUGGAAUGGAGAGAAUGCGCUACUGACUUCACGAGGCUUAAAAGAUGAUGCACCCCCAGGGCCUGGCACACGGGCAACGCACGUUACACAGCGGCACCUCUCCUCAUCACUCAACCAGUGAGGCGACUUCUCUCCCUGCGUGUCCCCCCACCCCGGGCUGGGCUUGGCUCAGGAGUGGGGGAGCAGGGGGUCCUCUGGGCUCAGCCUAAUGGGGGAUCCUGGGCUGGCUGGGGUUGAUGCAGGAACCCAAAUAGGACAUGAAAAGAGAGAAAGGUGACCUAGGGGACUGUUUCUCAAACUUGUUUUUACUGCCCCCACGGCGAGAAAGACAUCUUGCCCUGUGAUUCCACAUAAACGUGCAUAUAUGCGUAAAAUGGAAACGAAAGUUCCGUGAAACAGUA